rnacentral:lncRNA from 1 species
UUCUUUCAUUCCCUAUCUGCUCCCCUGCUAUUGAUGAAUCAUUACUCAGUCCUUCCCCAACAUCUGAUACUUCUCCUUCCCUUUCUCCUUCUGUCUCUAAUCCCUGUCCUACUGAUGCCGUUCCAUUACAUACCACUACCACCACUUCCCAUUCUUUUCCACCUCCAGAACCUGUGUUACCUGCUCCUAGAAGAUCAAGCAGGCCUCAUGUCCCUCCUGCACAUCUUCAGCAAUACAUCUGUAACCUUUCUCCUUCCAUCUCUGGCACUAGUUCUUUUUCCACUUGCUGUAACAGCUCAGUUCACACUACACAUGUUGAGCCUACCUCGUACAGCCAGGCUGCUUCUGAUCCUGCCUGGCAGGAUGCAAUGACCAAUGAGUUUGAAGCUUUGGCAGCUAAUAAUACAUGGUCCAUAGUUCACCUUCCUCCUGGUAAGAGGCUUAUUGGAUGCAAGUGGGUUUACAAAAUUAAUUAUAGGGAAGAUGGGUGUGUGAAGAGAUAUAAAGCUCGGCUAGUUGUCAGGGGUGACACUCAGGUUGAGGGUGUGGACUUCACUGAUACAUUUUCUCCUGUUGUAAAAUUUUCUACUAUCAAGUCCUUGAUUGUUGUUGCUGUAAAACAGUCUUGGACUCUCUUUCAACUGGAUGUCAAUAAUGCUUUUCUCCAUGGUGAUAUAAAUGAAGAAGUAUAUAUGAAACUGCCCCCUGGUCUAACAGUCUCUUCUGCCUCUUUUUCUUCUUCUUCCCCUUUAGUAUGCCUCCUCCAAUAGAUGAAGAAGUAUAUAUGAAACUACCCCCUGGUCUAACAGUCUCUUCUACCUCUUCUUCUUCUUCUUCCC